rnacentral:tRNA from 1 species
AGGAGAAUAGUUAAUUAUAACAUUUUCAUUGCAAGAAAAAAGUAUUGAUAAAUCAAUUUCUCUUA